AGCGAGGCCGUUUUACGAAAUCCAAAGCCAGCAGUCGUUACGUGGCUAUGCAACGAUUUCACACGGAUCGUUCGUUGAACACGGUGGUAUAAAAGAGAGAAAGGAUAUAGGAGAAAUAUAUAAUAGAGGGAGAAGGAGAUGGAUAUAGAAGAGGAACAUAGAAGAGGGUGGAACUAUGGCACAAAUUAAUAUGGCUUUACAGAAACUGAAAUAGCGGUGGAACAGUGGUGGUAGCUACCGCCCCUAAGAAUUUAUCGUUUCGAGCAAUUAAGCGAACGGCCGUUGGAUAUCGUCUGGUCACCUCUAUAAUACCUCCACCCCCACUUCCGGCUCCACCAGCAUCACCAUCGGCAACUACACCACCAGUACCUUCACAACUAUCAGCAUCAGCAUCAGCUUCGCACCGACCACCCUCCUCAUACUAUCGUGGUGCUACAACUCUCGUUUCUCUUUAAUCGAUCGAACUUACCAAGUUGGACCCGCCUCGAGAAAGGGAUUACUUCCGAUCUAGCGUAACUUUCCUUUCGGAUCCACUGUCACCACCAAACUCUCAGACUAUUUCCAAGACGUUUUUACGUGUUCCGUGCAGUAGGUCCAGUCCGACAAAUAACUUUUACGCUGCCGACAAAUUGAACGUUACAAGGGCCACCAAAUCCUCCUAAAGUUAUCAUCGGGUUCUGAGAAUUCGAGUGGAGAAACAAAGUGACAACAAAAGAUCAAAUGUCAUGGGAGCAUGACCUGUCAUAGAUAAUAUUCAUGAAAUUAAUGGGGAGAGAAUUAUCAGCAACCAUUGCAACAAAGAUUCUGGAAGAAUUAAU